ensembl:misc_RNA 7SK 7SK RNA
AGAUGUGAGGGCAAUCUGGCUGCGACAUCUGUAACCCCAUUGAUCGCCAGGGUUGAUUCAGCUGAUCUGGCUGGUUAGGCAGGUGUCCCCUUCCUCCCUCACUGCUCCAUGUGUGUCCCUCCCGAAGCUGCGUGCUCAUUGAAGAGGACAGCCUUUACAAAUAGAGAAGGACCGGUCUUCAGUCGAGGGUAUACGAGUAGCUGUGCUCCCCUGCUAGAACCUCCAAACAAGCUCUCAAAAAUCCCAGUUCGGGGCCCUGGCUCCCCACCUGCAGGGGAGUCGCUUCACAAGCAGUGAAGCAGUUCAGCAGGUGUCUAUCUUUCUCU